AGUCGAGAUGUAACACCAUGGGGUAGGAAGCCCGGAAACUUCUCUGGCCUUCUAGAUCAUGGAGUAUUGUUUGACCUGCACCAGAGUUGCUGAACUUAAUAACUGGAUGGGCAGCUGGUAUGCUGCUAAUACUGGAUAUGUCAGCUUCAAACUAAACCUGUCCUUGUGGUAGACAUGGGAUCCAAAGCCUCCUUUCCAACCAACAGGAGAGCAAGAAGAGAGUUUCUUGGUGUCUUUUAGAUUGAGCUGUAGAUGAAGUUACAGCAGACUGGUCAUCAUCCUUAAUCCACAAAAAAGAAACCAAAUGAAACAAACAGACAACAAAAAACAAAGUUGGGAGUACAGCUCAUUUUGGCAAGAAUUUGUGAAAGAAGGGUAAGGUGAAAAGUUAAGUAAAAAGAGGAUAUAAAAGAAACCAAGGGGCGGUGGGAGAGAGUUGAGUGGGGGUGGACUGAAAACUUCACCCAUUGAGGUUCCUAUGUAACGAUGUUAAAGAAAGUUCUUAAUGAAGGUCCCAGUCUGCUGAGAAUAGCAGUCACUGACCCUUUGUCUUGGCUCUGCCUUAUCUUAGAAGGGCUCCUUUGCUUAGUAAACUCUCUCUGCUUCUACAA